UUGUUUAUUUCAGGAUUAGGAAGAACCUGGACGAGAUCCGGGAAAACAGCCUUAUAUAUGGAUGUAGCAGAGUUUUUUAAAAGUGCAUCCGUUUCGUAGACGCUUAAUUCAAAGCUAACAAAGUCGUAAGCUAUAACAAAUUCGCCAUUUGAAGAAAAGGACACCAUAGAAAACUUUGCAUCAGGCAACGAUACAUGACGAAUGCUUGCAGAGUCUUUGAGAACGUUAGCGUCAACAUUUUCAUCAGCGUCAAUGAGGGACUUUUGUAAGUCUAAAGUGGAACCAAUAAUUAAGUAAUUAGGGACGCCUGCAACAAAAAGACUUUUCAAGUUAUUAAUUGCGAAUAAAUUGCUAUAUUCUGGGAGACCUAAGGAAGAAUUGCUUAAACUACUAGUAGCACCAAUUUUUAAAGCCGCAAACGAAAGAAACUGCAAGAAAAGUUAAUACACAAUACAACUAAUGUACGUACUUCAAUGUCUUCCUCUUCAAUUUCGCUUUCAGUGACUUGUGA